GCAUAAUAAAAUUCAAUGAUAUUUUCUAGGUUGUUUUGUUGCAGGGGUGCUUCACUUUAUUCAGGUGAUCAUCAUCCUGAUGCACUUCGCCAGCGAGAUCAGCAUUUGAAAACAUAAAAGAAAUGAGAUUGAAUCUUUAGUGAAGCUGAAGGAGGCGUUUCAUAAUUGUAAAGAUCUAGAAAAUGAUAUUGUGUUGAAGAUACAAAGGUUAAUUCAUUGCACUAUUUCCUUUAAAAAUCAUGAUCACUGAGAUUGAUUAAUUUCCUUGCAUAUUCUGUACUAUGUAUUGACACUUCUGUUUUGAUAAUAAUAAUAAACCAUAUAUACAUUUUUAUAAUUGUAGAUUAAUUUUAUAUAUCUUUCAUAUUUUAUUUUGCCUUUUUUGGUUUAAAUCUUUCUGUUAUUUUUAUGUUUAGUGCACCUGCAUUUUAUUGAAUUAUAUCCAAAUGUAGUACUUCCUCUUUUAUAAUUUGGAAUUAGGAAGACAUCUUGGAUUAAUCCUCUUUUAUCUUCAAGUUUGCUGAAGAAAACUCUGCUCUCAUAAUAUACUUUUAGGUGGUCAAAAUCUUGAUGAUACAAUUCGAAAAUGGCACCAAAAAUACCAAUGAAGAAAUGGCGGAAAGGAUCCUAGGUAUCAAUUUGUUUUUACGACUCAGUUUGAAACAAUUAUUUUAGUUUCUGGAUUCAUUUUUAACAUUUUGAAUAUGUGGAGAAAUAGAACAGUAUAGAGAUUAUUAAAGAUGCAGAAAAAGAAGAAAAUGUUGAUGCAGUUGAACAUGUGGAAGUUGGAGAAAAGAAUUGGAUGGUGCAGUAUGCUAAGAAAUUUAGAACUAAAAGGGUUAAUUAAUAUGAGUUGGGGAUGUGAAUGUUUAUAUAUAUAUAUAUAUUUCAAACAUAUUGUUUUUUAUUAGAUUUUUAAUUAUUUCAUUAUGAGAAACAAUGAUUAAUAUAGUGAGAUGAAAUGAGAGUAAAAGGUUAUAAAAGAUGAUAAGUUAUCAUCUAGGAAUUACGACCAAGUUAUCAUUUUAUUAGUUCUUAUGCUAAGGUGAUUUUGACACUAAGAAAACUAUUGUUUAGAUAAACGAUAGAUGAUAUGAUAUAUCAUUGUCUUCAUUUGGAAUUAAAAGCUUGUGUUGUUUGUAGAAUAGUAUAUUUCUCAAAUAAGCUGACUUGUUAUUUGUAAAUAUGUAUAUGCUUUUAAUUUAGUCUUGAAAUUAUAUAUUUCGCUUCUUUGUUUCUUUGAGUAUUUCUUCAUUUUCUUGUUGCCAAGCUAAUUAUUUUCAAUAAAUCAUAUUUUAUGGCUGUUAAUGGUUAUCAUAGUAGGAAAAAACUGUAUUUCUCACCCAUUUGUGUAUUAAUUCAUGCGAAAUAGAUGGUUAGAUAAAUGAAAUGGAAGCUGCUCGUUGCUCACUUUGGUAGAAAAUUUUCAAACUUGGCAUUUUCUUUGUAUAGCUCUCUCUACAAAAUUGUCUACUAUAUUCAUAUCUAUGUUAAUGAAGCAACUAGUAAAUUGUUGAAACAAUAAAUUGCCGCUAGUGUAGAUAUUUAAGCUUAGUAGCUUACAUAAGUACCCAUGAUUUCUCUCAUCACUUGUUCCUUUUCUGCAACUCAAAAGAUUUAACCCUAAAAAUUAGAUUGGGUAAAUCAUUUGCUUUGAGCCUUAGUUAUGUAUUAGUGUUAGUAUUUUGUUUGUUUGUAUCUUUAACUUUUUGUUUUGCUUUUUUGAUUUAUUCAGAUUUUUCUUUCAAAGCUCCAUUUUCCCUUUCCUCUGUUUUUUCAUUUCCUUCUAUUUUUUUCUUUCGACUGUUUUUUAUUUUUUUAUUUAACAUCUUUGGUGCAUUUUGCUACUGGUUUAAUGGCAUAGAAUAUGUAUUUAGCUAUUGCUUUGAUGUAUUUUGUUACUGGUUUGUGUUGUUUUUUUACUGCUACUAUUGGUCUAUUUUGUUGCUACUGUUGGUCUAUUUUUUUAAAAAAUUUGGUAAUUUAAUCAUGCCACAAUUACAUAGGUCCAAUUACUUUAACAAUUUCCUUGUUCCCAAGCUUUGUUUGAAUCUUCAUUUUGUUUGAUACUUUGUUGCUUUCUUUCUCAUUUUCUGACAAGUUUAUGUUCCCAUGUGUUUUGGAUUUCUAUUGAUUAUCUUGCAGUUGCAAAGUCCGCAGUUGUGAGUUUUGAUGCUUUCAUACUCUUCUUAAAUUUUUCUUCCUGUACUUCUGGUGGCCUUUUGACCUUGUUUGGUUGUAGGCAUGUGUUAAUUUCAUUAACGUGUGUGUAUAGAUUUGUGGCUCCUACUUCACUUCUGUGAUGUAUGUGGAGCAUUGGUGUGAGGAGAAUUUCAGGAGCCUAACACUGGGCAGCCCAGAUUUUUCUGACAUUGAAAUGUGAUAUUGAAGCUUUUCUUCAAGGUGAGGGCUUGAGCUAAGCUUGGGUUGGGGAACUUAGAGGAAUUUGAGGAAGAAUUCAGUUGGGAUUUGAAGGGAAUUAAGCUGGGUGUUGGAGCUGGAAAUUCAGAGGAAAGGUCAGAUAAAUUUUAGGUAAAAUUCUGGGCUUUCAUCUCUGAAUUUGACUAGGUUUAUGUUGAGGAAUUUUGGAUAUAUGAAUGCGUUGAUUGGAAUGAGUUUUGGGUAUUAAAUUGGCUGAGUGUUGAGUGGUGAAUUCUACUGAAUUGGGGGUAUUGUUUCUGGUACAAUUGUUUAGGAGAUUUAUGUUUAAAGCAUAUGGAUUAAGAUGUUGAGUUAGUAGUUGGUUUAGUGUUGAAUAGAUGGGGAAAAUUAUGGGUAUAACUUAGGUGUUCUUGGCUGGGAGAAGGAGGAGAAAACCCAGGUUUUCUCUGGGUUCGCAGGGUGCGCCACGACCCAGCCUGGGGGCGCCGCGGUGCAUGUGGCCCUUAUGGCCGUGGGAGCUCUCUGACUUGGGGGCGUGCCGCGACUUGCUUGGCCAAGUCGCGACCCGCCUCCCCUUUUUGCUUGGGAGGUUGCUCUCUGACUUGGGGCAAGUUGCGACUUGCCGAGCCAAGUCGCGACCCGCCCAGGAGUUUUAUGCUUAGAGGAGUUCUUAGUGUUGUUAGGGCUCGAGGGUUCAAACAUAGGGGCUUGGGACAAUUUCUACUACCCGGUUUAGUAGAAAUUGAGGUCCCGAAGGCUAGUUUUGUUCACUAGGUAUUUUAUUUCUAAUCGGAAUUUGAUAGAUAUCAAUUACUCUUGUGACUAGGUUUGUUGCCAAGGCUCGAGGCUAGGGAUCGUGCUCGGAACUAGCUCACCUUCUCCGCUUGGAAUCAAAGGUAAGAAAACUGCACCCAAUUGUGUGGCUAUGUUGGGACUACGAGUUCCCUAUACUUGUAUGAUGGUAUUAUGCCAUGUGAGCAUGAAAUAAAUGACCUAAGCGUGCUUGAAUUAAUAUUUGCGCACAGAAUGCGGCUCGGCCACUGGUAGCUGAGGUUAAUUAUAUAAUCAUUGAGCUUGGCCUAAGUGAGCCAGAGUCAGUGGGUUAAACAGAGGGUGCGGCCUAAGGGCGCUGACCCUGGACAUUGUAUGAUAUGUUUACUAUGGUUAAUAUGAUGAGUAUAGCAUGUUAAUUACCUGGAUAAUAGAUUGUUGAUUUGUCGGUUGAUAUCACUGAUUAUGUGAACGAUGUGGUUUGUUGAGUAUUUGAUUAAUGAUGUGUGAAUUAUUUGAUUAUUAUUAUUGGUUAUGCUUUGUAUAUGGUUUUCUUGAUGGGCCUUGUCUCACGGGUGCUACGUGGUGCAUGUAAAGGCAAGGGUAAUCUGGGCCAACCCUGAUUUGGAGAGCUCUGGGGGCAGAAUGUACAUAGUCGGCUGCUCGGCCGCCACGAUCGAGGGAUGGUAUAGUGACAGGAGACCCCAAAAUUCCUAUUUUGCCAUUAGAGUGGCUUGUGGUUGUACAUAACCUUUGGAAAUUUUGUAAACGGUUAUUUAACCUUUUUUUUUGGGAUCCUGUGUAUCAAAUGCUUUUUUAAAUGAAAUUUAUCU